UGGGGAAUAUUGCACAAUGGGCGAAAGCCUGAUGCAGCAACGCCGCGUGAGUGAUGAAGGUCUUCGGAUUGUAAAGCUCUGUCUUUUGGGACGAUAAUGACGGUACCAAAGGAGGAAGCCACGGCUAACUACGUGCCAGCAGCCGUGGUAAUACGUAGGUGGCGAGCGUUGUCCGGAUUUACUGGGCGUAAAGGGUGCGUAGGCGGAUGUUUAAGUGAGAUGUGAAAUACCCGGGCUUAACUUGGGUGCUGCAUUUCAAACUGGAUAUCUAGAGUGCAGGAGAGGAGAAUGGAAUUCCUAGUGUAGCGGUGAAAUGCGUAGAGAUUAGGAAGAACACCAGUGGCGAAGGCGAUUCUCUGGACUGUAACUGACGCUGAGGCACGAAAGCGUGGGUAGCAA
rnacentral:rRNA from 1 species